AGAGUUUGAUUCUGGCUCAGGAUGAACGCUGGCGGCGUGCCUAACACAUGCAAGUCGAGCGGGUAGGUACUUUAAUGAACCUUCGGGGGAUUUAAAGCACCGAAAGCGGCGGACGGGUGAGUAACGCGUGAGGAACCUGCCCUGUGCAGGGGGAUAGCCUCGGGAAACCGGGAUUAAUACCCCAUAAAACUCUAACACCGCAUGGUGUAUGAGUCAAAGCAAUAGCGGCACAGGAUGGCCUCGCGUCCCAUUAGCUAGUUGGUGAGGUAACGGCUCACCAAGGCGACGAUGGGUAGCCGGCCUGAGAGGGUGACCGGCCACACUGGGACUGAGACACGGCCCAGACUCCUACGGGAGGCAGCAGUGGGGAAUAUUGCACAAUGGGCGCAAGCCUGAUGCAGCGACGCCGCGUGAGCGAAGAAGGCCUUCGGGUCGUAAAGCUCUGUCCUAAGGGAAGAAUAAUGACGGUACCUUAGGAGGAAGCCCCGGCUAACUACGUGCCAGCAGCCGCGGUAAUACGUAGGGGGCGAGCGUUAUCCGGAAUCACUGGGCGUAAAGGGUGCGUAGGCGGCCUUGCAAGUCAGGAGUCAAAGCCCUCGGCUCAACCGAGGUAAGCUCUUGAAACUGUAAAGCUUGAGUGCAGGAGAGGAGAGCGGAAUUCCUAGUGUAACGGUGAAAUGCGUAGAAAUUAGGAGGAAAACCAGUGGCGAAGGCGGUCUUCUGGACUGUUACUGACGCUGAAGCCAGAAAGCGUGGGGAGCGAACAGGAUUAGAUACCCUGGUAGUCCACGCAGUAAACGAUGAGUACUAGGUGUGAGGGCGACAGUUCUUCAGUGCCGGAAGUUACACAAUAAGCACUCCGGCUGGGGAGUACGGUCGCAAGAUUGAAACUCAAAGGAAUUGACGGGGCCCGCCACAAGCAGCGGAGCAUGUGGUUUAAUUCGAAGCAACGCGAAGAACCUUACCAGGGCUUGACAUCCCUCGGACCGUCCUAGAGAUAGGACUUUCCCUUCGGGGACUGGGGUGACAGGUGGUGCAUGGUUGUCGUCAGCUCGUGUCGUGAGAUGUUGGGUUAAGUCCCGCAACGAGCGCAACCCUUGCCUUUAGUUGCCAUCAGUUAGGCUGGGCACUCUAAAGGGACUGCCGGUGACAAACCGGAGGAAGGUGGGGAUGACGUCAAAUCAUCAUGCCCCUUAUGUCCUGGGCUACACACGUGCUACAAUGGCCGGUACAAUGGGCAGCGAACCCGCGAGGGGGAGCGAAUCCCUAUAAGCCGGUCCCAGUUCGGAUUGCAGGCUGCAACUCGCCUGCAUGAAGUCGGAGUUGCUAGUAAUCGCGGAUCAGAAUGCCGCGGUGAAUACGUUCCCGGGCCUUGUACACACCGCCCGUCACACCAUGGGAGUUGGCAAUACCCGAAGCCGUCGGGCUAACCCUUUGGGAGGCAGACGUCGAAGGUAGGGCCAAUGACUGGGGUGAAGUCGUAACAAGGUAACCGU
rnacentral:rRNA from 1 species